CAAAAUGGCAUCUGCCAGCAAAGCCCUGAUGGGUCCAGAGGAAACUCAGAACAGGGGCAAAUGAAAAUACUCCUCUGAGGCAAAAGUGUGGAGUCUGCUUUCAUGAUGGAAGGGCAAUAAGAAAGCAUGUGAUGCUGUUCUCAGUCUCCUGGUAUACUGGGCCCUGCUGAAGCACAGCGAAUCUCCCAAAAGUGGCCCCUGCUUUGGGGUGCCUCAUUUGAGCCCAACUUGAGCACCCACCACCUGAGUUACCCUCCUUAAACCUGCUUUGCUGUGAUACCUUCAAAAAGCGCGACAGGAAUUAGGCUGCUGCUGGGCUCAGACCACUGCUUAUGCCAAUGUUAUCCCCUCCUCUAAGUGGCUGUAAUUCAAAACCUUAACUCUGUCCAAGAAGAUCAGCAAGAGUUCCACAGGCAAUCCCACCCCCGUCUAUGAUAUCUCCCCUACAGGACUCUGAGGGACUGAUGCUGUGUUGAUUGUUCUCCAAAUGACUGCAUCUCUGUAACUUGCUUUAGUAUUGCAAGAACUCAGUCUGCUCCUGACCUUCUCAGAUCUCUCAGCUGGCAGUACUCCACCAGGCCAUCAAAGUGGAUGUUGUAACCUUUUAAAAAAAAUGUUGUUAAUGUAGGUUAAAAUCACAGAUGCAUUUUAGGUUUGAUUUCUCUUUCAGAAAUUCCUAAUUACGCUACACAUUGGAAAGGCCUGGCCUGGCUCAGAGCCAUUCUGAUGGAUGUCGUGUUGCUAAACAAGAUGGGCUUAGAAAUAUGCCUGGAUGUUUUCUUUUUUAUUCCAAGCAAAUACAAGCUGUAGAUUAACAUUUGGCUGACCCCAAUGUCAAUUGCUAAAUGUAAUGUUUAGAACAGUGUAACACCCUGAUACUCUGUAGUUCCCCCACAAUGGAACAUGUUUUCAAACAUCUCUCCAAGUUGUACAAACAGUGGGCACUGCUACAACAUGAGGGUGACCUACUGCCCAGCAGAAUAACAGCAUCCAAACACACCGCCAGCUGGCCUGGCAUUCUCUUAUUUCCAAUACAGUUAUGUGGGUAAUAGCAUGAUGCUCAUGUAUCUGGCUAUUCACUCUUAUGUAGUUGAUUAAAAAUACUUUAUAAAUGAUACCAAAGUUUGUAUGAUAUACUGCCCAGAAAACAUUUUGAUGAACAAUGAAGUCAAUGCCAAAAACCGUGUAAGCAAGCAAUAGAGUCAAAUCAUGUGAGAGAAAAUUAAAUUUUCAUGUAUCGUAAAUGAAAUAUACAUUAGGGACUCUCUCCAGUGACCUCCAGAUUCUGUAAUUUCUGGAUUGGAUCUUAAGAACUAAAUCAUGUAGCCACAAUACCCAGUGACACAUAUAUAGACGGUAUUGCCUUGGUCCGGGCCUGCAACGGUAAACAAAUGGAACUAGUUUUGGAGAACUGCUAUUGACAGUAAAAUUCUAAUUUUACUCCAGCUCCCUGAACAGAUGUACCUCAGAGUCCAUAG